AUUGAACGCUGGCGGCAGGCCUAACACAUGCAAGUCGAGCGAGCGGCGGACGGGUGAGUAAUGUAUGGGGACUGCCCGAUAGAGGGGGAUAACUACUUGGAACGGUUGCUAAUACCCCAUAUUAUCGCAUAUGCCCUAUGGGUUUAGUUUUUAGGUGGGGUAAUGGCUCACCUAGGCGACGAUCCCUCGCUGGGCAGCGGGGAGGAUCAGCCACACUGGGACUGGUACCCGGCCCGUACUCCUCCGGAGACGGCAGUGGGGAAUUUUGCACAUGGGGCGCAAGCCUAAUGCGCCCAGCCCGCGUAUAUAAAGAGGGCUCUAGGGUUGAAAAGUACUUUCAGAGGGGAGACGUUAACGAAAGAAGAAGCACCGGCUAACUCCGUGCCAGCAGCCGCGGUAAUUC
rnacentral:rRNA from 1 species